UGUAUGUGAAUCAACGGCCCUUCUGGCUAUUCAUAGACAGAUGAAUCACAUGUCACCUAUAGCGGAGUCUGGCACACGGUCUGAUAGCUGCAGGAGAACUCUGAGGUAGGAAUUUAUCUAGCCUGCCUUGACCCAGCCAUGGGCUCGAAGCUCCUCAGCUGUGUGGCCUUCUGCCUCUUGGGGGUAGGCCCCUUGGAGACAGCUGUUCUCCAGACUCCAAAAUAUCUUGUCACACAGGUGGGAAAUAACGUGUCUCUCAAGUGUGAGCAAAAUCUGGGCCACGAUGCUAUGUUCUGGUACAAGCAAGACUAUGAGCUGAAGAUUAUGUUCAGCUACAAUAAUAAACAACGCAUUUUAAACAAAACGGUCCCGAGCCGCUUCUCACCUCAGGCUCCGGAUAAAGCCCAUUUGAAUCUUCAUGUGAAGACUGUAGAGCUGGAUGACUCAGCUGCAUAUUUCUGUGCCAGCAGCUAUGACACAGUCAUGCAGAGAAGCCGUUUUCCUGUGCACAAACCCAGCCAGCCAGGAAGCAGCGGAGACUGAGUGUUAACCCACACCCGAGCUCCAUGUCCCCCCCACCGCUCCACCUGGUACUUUUGGAAGCCCAAUGACGUCUCAGCCUACUGUCCCGCCUCCUGUGAUAAUACCUGAGGUGAAUCAGUGUUGUGUUUCACGCACAGGUGAGUCUCACAGAAUUCUGCAGACUAGCCAGAAUGGUACUGAACAUCACAGUCACCCAAGUACCUAGGCUCUGCCACCCAUGAAAGACCAUGGAGAUUUUAACUGAGAGAAGAUCCUGCUUGCUAUCUUACAAACAUUUGAGGGGCACAACUCGGAUUGGGUGAAGUAACUGAUUCUAACA